GGACUGGUUAGCUCAGUCAGUAGAGCAUAGCACUAAGAACACUAAGGUCACAGGUUCAAUUCCCGUUCGGUCCC
rfam:Apaloderma vittatum contig38766, whole genome shotgun sequence.